AAGAUUCUGGCCUCGGCCAAAAGUUUUCAGCUGUGAGCCUCGGCUGCACGCUGAUCAACCUCUCACACCAUGUGCGCCGUUCGGUGGCGGGCCCCGGGCCCGCGGCCGCUUUCCACAUACAACCACAGUCCAGAAUGUCAAUACCUUAAAUUAA
rnacentral:misc_RNA from 1 species